CUGUGCCUAGGUAACGUGAUCACACAAUUAAUAGCGGGAGCGCGCACCCGCAGCACUCGUGGAACUCAGGAAAUAUGAAUAGCUGUUUCUUUCAGACACCAGUGGAUUGGGAUUUGUUUGUUGAUUUUUAGUUUUCUGAACUGUCGCAGGAUAUCAAAAGUAACAGGGUCAUCGUGGCAUAACAGCUAGGAGGGCUUCUGGAACGGGAAAGCACGCCUAAGUCAUUUUAUGGAGGCUUGCGGGACGCAACGAAACAUUUCUUAAAGUGUUUGGCACCGAGGAUAUCAGUUCAGAUCCCCCUUCAUCCGGAGCAUAGUCUUGUUUGGAUUUCAGCCUGUUUGAAAUGUGGCGUUAUGUGACCGAGAUAAAUGUGCUAUGUGUGUGAUUUGGAGUGGAUCUUGUGGAAGGUGUCCAGUGGGAAAGAGACUGGGUGGACUCGUCUGCAAUUGAUCCCCGUUUUCUGAGCGCAAUGGACUUGGAAUGAAGACAAAACAUGGAUAUAAUCUGGGAAAUAUUUCUUAUCUUUCAAGUCAAUCUCAUCGUUUGCACUUCAGCUCAGCCGAAUCCCCCCAAAAUCCACGAGGGAUGGUGGGCUUACAAAGAAGUUGUUCAGGGGAGCUUUGUUCCAGGAAUAGUUUGCCCCAAAUUUGCCAGGUGCAGAGCCUAGAUUGUACUCGCCACAUCAUCACAAGUGCAAAGGUGCAUGCAGCGUGCUAUUGAGGAAAUGAUGAUGGACGGAAGAUUUGGUUUUCAAGCUAAAGUAAAAAAAAAAAAAAAAAAAAAACACUUCUUAAACCAGAGAAGGUCAACAUGUUAGUAUUCUAGUGGGAAGAAUGAUUCUAGAUCCCUGACUUGCUCAGCAAUGGAUCCUCUGCGGUGAAUGGCUACCAAACAGCUAAGGAUCAUUAGUAAUCCGCAAAACUCCAGUUCAUCAAUUAAAGGGUUAAUUCACCCAGAAAUGAAAAUUCUGUGAUUCAUUACUCAGCCUUGUGUUGUCCCAAACCCAUAAGACCU